AAUGAACGCUGGCGGCAGGCCUAAAACAUGCAAGUCGAACGCCCUAGCAAUAGGGAGUGGCGCACGGGUGAGUAACAUGUGGGAAUAUGCCUUUUGGUACGGAACAACGUUUGGAAACGAACGCUAAUACCGUAUGGUCCCUCCGGGGUAAAGAUUUAUCGCCAAAAGAUUAGCCCGCACUAGAUUAGCUAGUUGGUAAGGUAAUGGCUUACCAAGGCGACGAUCUAUAGCUGUUCUGAGAGGAAGAUCAGCCACACUGGGACUGAGACACGGCCCAGACUCCUACGGGAGGCAGCAGUUAGGAAUAUUGGACAAUGGGCGCAAGCCUGAUCCAGCCAUGCCGCGUGAGUGAUGAAGGCCUUCGGGUUGUAAAGCUCUUUAGCCGACGAAUAUAAUGACUGUAGUCGGAGAAUAAGCCCCGGCUAACUUCGUGCCAGCCGCCGCGGUAACAC
rnacentral:rRNA from 1 species